rnacentral:rRNA from 1 species
GGUAACGGCCCACCAAGUCGACGAUCGGGUAGCCGACCUGAGAGGGUGAUCGGCCACAUUGGGACUGAGACACGGCCCAAACUCCUACGGGAGGCAGCAGUGGGGAAUAUUGGGCAAUGGGGGAAACCCUGACCCAGCAACGCCGCGUGAGGGAAGAAGGUUUUCGGAUCGUAAACCUCUGUCCUUGGUGAAGAGGAAGAGACGGUAGCCAAGGAGGAAGCCCCGGCUAACUACGUGCCAGCAGCCGCGGUAAUACGUAGGGGGCGAGCGUUGUCCGGAAUGAUUGGGCGUAAAGGGCGCGUAGGCGGCCCGGUAAGUCUGAAGUGAAAGUCCUGGUUUUAAGUUGGGAAUUGCUUUGGAUACUGUCGGGCUUGAGUGCAGGAGAGGUAAGUGGAAUUCCCAGUGUAGCGGUGAAAUGCGUAGAGAUUGGGAGGAACACCAGUGGCGARGCGACUUACUGGACUGUAACUGACGCUGAGGCGCGAAAGUGUGGGGAGCAAACAGGAUUAGAUACCCUGGUAGUCCACACUGUAAACGAUGAAUGCUAGGUGUAGGGGGUAUCGACCCCUUCUGUGCCGCAGUUAACACAAUAAGCAUUCCGCCUGGGGAGUACGGCCGCAAGGUUGAAACUCAAAAGGAAUUGACGGGGGCCCGCACAAGCAGCGGAGCAUGUGGUUUAAUUCGACGCAACGCGAAGAACCUUACCAGGUCUUGACAUCCAGGUAAAGCUGCAGAGAUGCAGUGUGUGCUUGCACAAUCUGAGACAGGUGGUGCAUGGUUGUCGUCAGCUCGUGUCGUGAGAUGUUGGGUUAAGUCCCGCAACGAGCGCAACCCUUAUUUUCAGUUACUAACGUGUAAAGGCGAGGACUCUGAAGAGACUGCCGGGGACAACUCGGAGGAAGGUGGGGACGACGUCAAAUCAUCAUGCCCCUUAUGACCUGGGCUACACACGUGCUACAAUGGCCACCACAGAGAGGAGCGAACCUGUAAGGGGGAGCGGAUCUCAAAAAAGUGGUCCCAGUUCGGAUUGUGGGCUGCAACCCGCCCACAUGAAGUCGGAGUUGCUAGUAAUCGCGGAUCAGCAUGCCGCGGUGAAUACGUUCCCGGGCCUUGUACACACCGCCCGUCACACCAUGGGAGUUGGGAGUGCCCAAAGUCGGUGAGGUAACCGCAAGGAGCCAGCCGCCUAAGGCAAGACCAAUGACUGGGGUGAAGUCGUAACAAGGUAA